ensembl:lncRNA
UUCGAGGUCCCCUGGAAGGGACAUCAGCACUCAAGCAGGGAGUGGUUAUAGAGGCAGCAUGCACCCUGAGCAUCAAGAGUGACACCACCAAGCUCUUUCCUGGAAAAUAUACUCAGCAUCAAGUUGCCCUGGCUAUGAACUGUGUCUACCUUCACAGCUGUAAUCCUGAUUUCUUCAUCUUAAAGAACCAUCUUAAACAUCAUCAAUGUUUAAUAUGAGCAACACAAAUAGAUGGGCACAGAAGAGCUAAAUAUUGACACCCAGCAAAGCAAGGGGAUGAAGCUGCAGGCCUCUGUUGUCGCUCAGGGCACUUGCCCCGGCCAGCCUGAUGCAGGAUGAGAAAUGCGGAUGAGAGCAAUUGCCCCAGUGAAGAGUCAGCUGAUUUCAGAUGUGUGACUAAACACAGGUCCAUUCAACACUGUCAUAUGGCCAGCCCCAGUUGACGGCACUUGUGAAUGUUACACUCAAAAAGAUGAAUGAUAAUCCAACAAGUAGGUUGGAGGAAUGUUAUGAAUAAAUACAGGUAUCUUUUAUCUCUCUGUGUUUCAAAAUGUGAAAAUUUUCCAGAAU